GGGCCCGCACAAGCGGUGGAGUAUGUGGUUUAAUUCGAUGCAACGCGAGGAACCUUACCAGGGCUUAAAUGUAGUAUGACCGGCUUGGAAACAGGCCUUCUCUUCGGAGCAGAUUACAAGGUGCUGCAUGGUUGUCGUCAGCUCGUGCCGUGAGGUGUUAGGUUAAGUCCUGCAACGAGCGCAACCCCUAUUCUUAGUUGCCAGCGGUUCGGCCGGGGACUCUAAGAAGACUGCCAGCGCAAGCUGAGAGGAAGGUGGGGAUGACGUCAAAUCAUCACGGCCCUUACGUCCUGGGCUACACACGUGCUACAAUGGUAGAGACAGAGGGCAGCCACCUGGUGACAGGGAGCGAAUCCUUAAACUCUAUCUCAGUUCGGAUCGCAGUCUGCAACUCGACUGCGUGAAGCUGGAAUCGCUAG
rnacentral:rRNA from 1 species